rnacentral:lncRNA from 1 species
AUGGGGAAAACAAGGAAAGAUCGACAACUGGCGAAUGUCAGGAAAGAUGCCCGAGGCUUGCUCUUAGCACUCCAGGAAUUACUAAGUGGAUUGGAUCAGAUCAGGAGGCAAAGCUCUGUGCCAGGAGCGAAGCCAACGCCCAGACCAAAACCCUUGCUUCCCACCCACGCUGGCCAACUCUGCCAGCUGUGCGUCCCCCAGGGCUCUCUUCCUCCUGGCCCUGGGUACCAGAAUUUCAAAGAAAAUGAGCAGUUGGGCUGCUCAACUUUAUUGUUCACAGUCUGGAGGAGAAGAGUGGGAGGAACUCCAUCUCCCAAAGGCGCAAAAAGCUGUCUCUCCCUGGGACGACUCACAGGUCCUGAGCUCCUUACUCUGCAUGCAGUCCGCUCUCCUCCAGGACUAGGGUCUCAGCUGUGAGGUGUGACCUGAUCAGGAGCCUCAACCGUCCACACAAGGAUCUCAAAAGUUGCUCAGAAAACACCUCGCUCUCCAAUCCCCUUGCCGACUUGAGGUGGUGGACAAGGACCUGAGGGUGGGGAGGAGACGUGAAGUCAAGGAGAAGCCCCUCCUGCCGCAGAAUGGGCCGGCCAGCCACCUCUGCUUAAAAUGAAAGCAAAGAUGCACCAACCCAGCAGAGACGGCCACCACCAUCCUUAUUUCUUGUCCUGACCUCCUGUGACCCGCCCCACUCAUGCAAGGUGACCAGCCAUCCCAGUUUGCCCAGGACUGACAGGGUUCCUGGUACGUGGGACUUUUAGUUUUCAAACAGAGACAAUCCCAGUUAAACCAGGACUAGUUGGUCCCCCUAGAUGGUGACACAUGGAUUACAUCUCUAAGAGUGGCUGCCUAUUUUAAGGACUGAAGGGUCCGAAGUCUCCCUGGCACCCUUUGGGUCAUCUUAAGCCUCUGACUUCAGGGGUGAAGGCUGGGUAUGGGACAGGUGAGGGUGGAGCAAGCGAGGGUAAUGGGUUUGCGCCCACAGCACUGAAGUGUCGCUCCACACCUCCAUUUAGCCCAUCUCCCCAAUUCCCAGACCCAAAUCUAUGCUUCCCGCAGCCAUGUGACAGCCACUCACACUGCCCUGCUCUGCCCAGCCACGCCAUCCCUCAGAGUGCUCUUCUUCUCGGCCCUCGAUAUGAGUUAAGAAGAAAAGGUAAGACUGAGGUUGUGGCCGCUGGGGUUGGUUGCCUCCCAACAGCCAGCCUUCCUAAUGGAACUUCGAUUUUGUUCAGAUCUUGGGUAAGUGGGGUGCCCAGUCCCAGGGCCUGAGUUGUGGCAAUUGCUUUCUGCUUUGCUCAUGAUUGGGUUAGGUGGGCAAGCAACCCAGGAAUGGCCGAAGAGAUGUCAAAGAAAAUCUGCUGGGGGAUCCUGGAAAAGGGUUUCUUCUCUGAUAAGACGGAGGCUUGCAAGGAAAGUUCUGCCACUUCUUUCUUGCUUUGGAAGUUGUCAAGCAAUGACACAAUUUUGGAACUCCUGCUGCCAUCAUCAUGUGACCAUGGGUGAGGAGGUGGCAGUGAGGGAAAGAGGAAAGGGGACCACAGACAUUCCAACCCAGAGCCCUGUCAUUGCUGAGUUACUGAACCAACCAUCAACUUCAGAUGUCUUGUUAUGUGAAAAAGUAGACUCUUCUUAAAGAAAUCAGCAUAAUGGGCAUCCUGUGGCUUGCAGCUGAAAGCUCUUGAGAGAGGAGAGGAAAGCUUGCAGCCAUGCGGCAGAGAAGACUUUCAUCCUGUCUCCACGAUCCCAACCUGGACAGAGGUGCACCUGAGCUCUCCAAGACAGGAAAUUCACGAGCUUCCUGCCUCUUCCUCCAGCACUUUGUCAUCAUCAUCCCUCCAGGAUGACUGACCGCCUUGAAGCUGGAGGGCCUUGGGGCCACUCCAUGGGACCUUCUAGCAAAGGGGGCCAGCCUGUCACUCCAAGUCCCUUCCUUUGGUGAUUGGGGGGGGGGGUGGUCAAGAGAGGGAGCUCUGAAGUCUUGCUGUGUACUCCCAGGCAAGUUACUUAACCUUUCUAUCCCUCAGUUUCUUCAUCAGUCAUGGGAAUAACAGUGCCUCGCUCACAAGGUUAUUGUGAGGAUAAUAAGGACCAAAUGUCAAGUGCAUCUAACACUGCGUCAUGGGUCCCUAAGACCACCGUGAGGUUCAAUGAUUCACUAGAACGACUCACAAAGAAAAGCUGUUAUACACAUGCUUACAGCUUGUUACACCUAAAGGACGCAGGUGAAGGCCAGCAAAAGUAAAAGGAACGCAGGGCGGGGUCCAGGAGGGACGAGGCACAAGCUUCCAGUUGCCUCUCCCAGUGGAGCUGCAGGGGCAAUGCUUACUUUCCCCAGAGAUGCUGUGUGACAACACAUAUGAAGUAUUGUCAGCUGGGGAAGCUCACCUGAGUCUUGGUGUCCAGGGUUUUUAUUGGUGGUUUAUCACCAGGCGUGGAGCACCUCUGUGGCUGAUCUGAGUUACUCAGCCUCUCCAGAGGUCAAGCUGGUCCAGGGCCCCCACCAUAAAUCAUAUUGUUAGAACCAACUCUCAGGUGUGACCCAAGGCCCCAGGCAGACAAAGACGCUCUUAUCAGGAGCAUAUUACAAGGCCUCCUCCCAGGAGUUGGUCAAGGGCCAGACCUUUCUCUGAAAUGUGUGCAAUUUGACCAUCCCACACCUGCUGAGUCAGCCCUUCACUGCACAGACACAUAAGCAGCACCCAAAGUUUUGUUUCCUCUGUAGGGCUGAAAUCUGCCUCCCACUGGCAUCCCCACUUUGUCACUAGUACUACCCUGUAGAAUUACAUGGCUUCAGCCUACCCUUUUCCUAAUUGUUAUGGGGGACCCUUUUUUCCCAUUCCUCUUUGAAUAUGGAGGGACCACCACUCAAGUAGCAUUCCUGGCUCUCCUUCCCCUCACUCACUCCUCUCCCCAGGAAAGGAGAGUGACUUUUGGUGGGUGGGUUUGGGAGAGAGAUCAACGCCUGCACCAAGGACCCCUUCCUCUCUCUUGAGCUGUCCCUCUGUAGAGACGUCACACUCUCCCGUUUACAGUGGCAGCUGUCCACCACCGCCAGCACCUGUGCUGGGGACCAUGCGAGGUUCAGGGACGAGGUCUUAGCAAGCCCACCUGGCUCAGACCCUAACCCACCUUCUCAAGCAGCUUUAUCGGCAAUAAAGGUGAUCUUUUUUUUUGUCUCCA